rnacentral:rRNA from 1 species
GCUGGCGGCGUGCCUAAUCAUGCAAGUCGAACGAACUUCCGUUAAUUGAUUAUGACGUACUUGUACUGAUUGAGAUUUUAACACGAAGUGAGUGGCGAACGGGUGAGUAACACGUGGGUAACCUGCCCAGAAGUAGGGGAUAACACCUGGAAACAGAUGCUAAUACCGUAUAACAGAGAAAACCGCAUGGUUUUCUUUUAAAAGAUGGCUCUGCUAUCACUUCUGGAUGGACCCGCGGCGUAUUAGCUAGUUGGUGAGGUAAAGGCUCACCAAGGCAGUGAUACGUAGCCGACCUGAGAGGGUAAUCGGCCACAUUGGGACUGAGACACGGCCCAGACUCCUACGGGAGGCAGCAGUAGGGAAUCUUCCACAAUGGACGCAAGUCUGAUGGAGCAACGCCGCGUGAGUGAAGAAGGGUUUCGGCUCGUAAAGCUCUGUUGUUAAAGAAGAACGUGGGUAAGAGUAACUGUUUACCCAGUGACGGUAUUUAACCAGAAAGCCACGGCUAACUACGUGCCAGCAGCCGCGGUAAUACGUAGGUGGCAAGCGUUAUCCGGAUUUAUUGGGCGUAAAGCGAGCGCAGGCGGUCUUUUAAGUCUAAUGUGAAAGCCUUCGGCUCAACCGAAGAAGUGCAUUGGAAACUGGGAGACUUGAGUGCAGAAGAGGACAGUGGAACUCCAUGUGUAGCGGUGAAAUGCGUAGAUAUAUGGAAGAACACCAGU